rnacentral:lncRNA from 1 species
CUAGUUCUCAUCAACAUGUAUAGUAUAAUCACUCAUACUGUACAGUACUGUGAGGGUUCUAGUUCUCAUCAACAUGUAUAGUAUAACACUCAUACUGUAUAGUACUGUGAUGGUUCUAGUUCUCAUCAACAUGUAUAGUAUAAUCACUCAUACUGUACGGUACUGUGAGGGUUCUAGUUCUCAUCAACAUGUAUAGUAUAAUCACUCAUACUGUACAGUACUGUGAGGGUUCUAGUUCUCAUCAACAUGUAUAGUAUAAUCACUCAUACUGUACAGUACUGUGAGGGUUCUAGUUCUCAUCAACAUGUAUAGUAUAAUCACUCAUACUGUACAGUACUGUGAGGGUUCUAGUUCUCAUCAACAUGCAUAGUAUAAUCACUCAUACUGUACAGUACUGUGAGGGUUCUAGUUCUCAUCAACAUGCAUAGUAUAAUCACUCAUACUGUACAGUACUGUGAGGGUUCUAGUUCUCAUCAACAUGUCUAGUAUAACACUCAUACUGUACAGUACUGUGAGGGUUCUAGUUCUCAUCAACAUGUAUAGUAUAAUCACUCAUACUGUACGGUACUGUGAGGGUUCUAGUUCUCAUCAACAUGUAUAGUAUAACACUCAUACUGUACAGUACUGUGAGGGUUCUAGUUCUCAUCAACAUGUAUA